UACAGAGGGUGCGAGCGUUAAUCGGAAUUACUGGGCGUAAAGCGUGCGUAGACGGUAGCGUAAGUCAGAUGUGAAAGCCCCGGGCUCAACCUGGGAACUGCAUUUGAGACUGCUCUGCUCGGGUGCGGAAGAGGGAAGCGGAAUUUCCGGUGUAGCGGUGAAAUGCGUAGAUAUCGGAAGGAACACCAGUGGCGAAAGGCGGACUUCCUGGUCCGACACCGACGUU
rnacentral:rRNA from 1 species